GCCUGCUGCUGCUGGGCUGGAGCGUACGGGCGUGCUACUGGGCUGGCUGUUGAGUGGGCUGCUGGACAGCUGCAGUAUGUUGGGCUCAAAUGCUGUUGGGUUGGCCUGCUAAGCUUUUUUUUUUUUUCUCUUUUUUCUUAAAUUUUUUUGGGCUGGGGCUGCUGCUGGGUUUCUUGGGUCGCGAGUCGGGUUGUCGGAUCGGGUCGGGUCGGUUUGACCUGGCUAUUAAUUAUUUUUCUUUUUCUUUUUCUUUCUUCUUCUUUUUCCUUCUUUCUUUCUCUUUUUUCUUUCUUCUUCUCUGAUCGGCCUCCUUCACGCCGUCCCUGCACCGCUGUCGCUCCUCCCCUCUUUUCCUUUCUUUCCUCUUCCUCUUCCUCCUUCUUUUUGCUGCUGAAAUUUUUUUUUGAAACUUUCUUUUUUUUGAUUUUGUCAGGCCUCUAUUUUUGGGGUUUUAAGCCCAAUUUAUAGAUGUUUUUCUCUUCCUUUUUGCAGAGAUUAGGUGGCUAGGGGAGAGGGAGGCCAUGCAUUAGGCCGGUGGCUGGAAAUCACGGGGGUAGGUGUGCAAGUUGCUGCCAGAAGGACUAAACUGCAAUUUUAGUAAAUUUUCUGGGGCUAAAACAAAUUUUGAGAAAAUUUAGGGGUCAAAAUGUAAUUUUGAAAAGUUGGUGGGUCAAAAUGUAAUUUCAAAAAGUUCAGUGGUCAAAAUGUAUUUUUUUGAUUUUUUAUUUUUUGAAAUUUUUUUUGAAUUUUUUUAAAUAU
rnacentral:lncRNA from 1 species